UUGUUUGAUUUUUUGUAUUGUUACAAAAUUAAAAAAAAAAAAUUUUGUCGGUUUAGAAUGCUUAUAUAGUACAGAUGAAAUAAUCUGUUCAGAAUGAUUUGGCUAAUUGUUUAAAAACAGUUUAAAAGUGCUGAAACAGUCCGGAAAAUGUAGAAUACAUUUUUGAUCUGUUUUGAAAAUUGUUUUGUGUGAUAGAUACAUCAAAACAUUUCUGAAGUUGCUGGAGAAGGACCCAUUGCCUUAAAAAUUUGCUGGACGAAAAAGUAGUCCUGGAGUAAUUGUUUAAAAUGCCUCAAAGGAGCAUUGGUGCUUAUUAACCCGAUCGAGUCGGUUAAGGAAGGCCCUACAGAUAAUUAAAAAUAAUUAAAUCAAUGAAAAAUCUAUAAAAU